UUUUUUUGUUUUUUGUUUUUUUCCCCCCCAGAGCAGCUGGGGGACUGGGAAGAGAAUUAGAGAGGUUCUUUCAUUUCUCUCCUGCCUCCAGGCAGGGCUGCACUUCAAUCAGCCCUGAGAGGAGGCUGUCUGUCUCCUUUCAAAAACCUUCCAGAGAAAGCGCUCUGGCAACUCCUCCUGACAGCUCAUUUUCACUCUUCACAAACCUAUUAGGAAGGUUUUACCACCACUCCCUUCCUCUAGCGGUAUUGGCCUGUGGUCUGAGUGCCCGUGGGGCUGGAGAAGCAGUGCCUCCAGCUUGUGUUUAAUGCGUCCUUUCCUAAUCAGAGAUAUGUGGCAUGGCUCCCACCUUUCCCUCAGUCCCCUGUCUUCAACAUUAACUGCCCCAAUUUGCCUCUCUAGAGGGCUGAUCCUCCACCCUGGGCCUGAGAGCUUCACUUAGGGGCUCUUUUAAGGCACCAUGUUUCUCCCGAGCUUGACAACCCAGAGGAGCAGAAACACACCCUGGGGACAAGCAGCUCUUCCCUGUGAAGCGUCCAUCUUCUCUCUGUCCCUGUCCCUCCACCUGGGGAGCCUGUGUCUUGGGGGCACUUUGGGGGCAGUCACGCUGGGGUCAGCCUGGUGAGAGGGUGGCGCGAGGUUUCAUCCACGCAGCCAUCCCCUGGCUGUACCAUGAGCCACAUCCCUGCUCUAAGGGUUUCUUGUGUAGCCUCAGGAGCUCAGGCCAUGCAGCUCUCUACAGAAAUCUCUCCCAGCCUCUGACACUUGGAUGAUUUGGUAUUUAAAUUAGCCAGGAUUCUUUCUCUUCCCACGUAGACACUUUCUGUUCCCAGGUGAAGACUUUCAUAGAACAGGCUGACAUUCUCCACCCUCCCCCCAUGCCAGCUCUUCUCCUGAUGCAUGACAGAGCCUUGACAGAAGAGCCUGAGGGGCAAAACAAAAGCUCUACUGUGUGUUGGAGAUGAUGUUUAUCAUUAUUAUUAAUAGCUAGGGUUUAAUGAGCUCUUUCUGUGUUUUGGGCACUAUGCUAAAUACUCUAGCUCUUAUUAUUUUUCUAUACUGCCUAACCUGUAAAUCGCUUGGGUUCAGAAUGUCCAGAGGGGACACGUGGCAUCUCAGGGAUGCUGUGGAAGUAGACUUAGUGCCUCUGUAGAAAUUUUUUUCUCAAACUAGAUGCCCAAAGUUCCAGUGGCUACUUUCAGAGAUUCAGAUCUCAGUGGGUAGUGGGUAGUCAAAGUUAGAUGUACGAAGGUACUUUCUGGCAGCAAGGGUCGCUAAAUUUCGGAAUUGAUUACAGAGAGAAGCUGAGUAAUUUCCUGCACUAGACCAUCAGACAGAGCCAAGCGUAUCCCAUGUGGCCAGGGAGCAUGCUGGGAAGCAUGAGGGGUCAUGGGGCACUGGGUCCCCUCUGGAGGCCCUUCCUGACAUUCUCAUUGGUUCAGUUAUUGUUUAUAUCUCUAAUUCUUUGAAAAUGUUGUAUAUGCUUCUGAAAGUCCCUCACCAUGAGCCAGAGCAAGAGUGUGUGUGUGUGUAUGUGUGUGUGUGUGCACACAUACACACGCACACUUCUAAUUUUAAAGCAGAGAAGGAAACCAACUCUCUUUGGCCUGGGGAAAGAGCAUUAAUAAAGAGCCCAAGCAGAUGCACAGGAUUAAAGUAUUUUUCAAACUAACGAUUUGAUUGAUUGCCCCUAAAGGCACAGCCAGAGAAGAACUCAACUUACUUGGCUUCACAGUGAGCGAGGUCCCGUCCCCAAAGGUUAAUUUGUCUGUACGGGUGUUACACAGUGUUCAGUGCUAUUGCAAUAACCUUGACUCAGGCCUCUAGGAAGACAGGUGGAGGUGGAGGAGGCAAGGAGGAAAACAAAACUCGAAAUGACUGCCCAUGGCCAAAACAAUCUCCUUGUAAUUAGGUUAGAGCAUGGGAUGAAUACUAAUAACUAGCAACCUCCCAGCCUGAUUCUAUUUGCCAUAAUUUUCUUUGAAAGAAUGGGCCUUGGCACAAGCAACUCCUGGGAAAUUCACUCAAAGUGGCUACUGCUUGGUCUCCUGGGAUCCCAUCUUUUUGUUAUUCCUGCAAGCCCUUUAUCUAUUUUCAUCCAGUUCCUACCUUCUUUUCCUCUGCUUUCCCUGGACCUUCCUCCUCAUGGAGGUUCACAUAUUUUCUCAGGGAGAGACUACAUGGAUCUUAAAAGCCAAGUACAAUGCCCCAGGGAAUAUAUGCAUUAAUAACCUUGUUUUCCAACUGGUAUCACGAAUCACUCAACACAAACCAAGCAAAGCAAACACCACCUGUGUUUUGACAGCUUCUGCAUGAUGGAAGGCAGGCAUCUUGGGAAGAAUAAUUAGCCAGAAAGGAGAACUUACUUGGUGUGACCAAGAGUUUGGUGCCCUUCCCAAAAGUGAGUUGGGAACUCCCGACUCCAGAGUACCCACAGGGUUUCCUUUCUUUGCAAAAACCACACAGAUGCUGAGAAAAUCAAAGCAUUCAUAGUACAGGAGCAGUGUCGAGAGGAGCUCAGGCUGUAACAAUAGCCAGAGGACAGGUCAAAGAGAAGGGCUAUUACAGAGGCUUGCCCUGGGGUGGACCAUCCCUGAGUCCUAUAGUAGUCUGGCUGGAUUUCAUAGGUCACCUCAUCCAUCCUCCUGUCUUUAGCCAAGGUGUUCUCUGCCCAAAGACCUAUGUAUUCUUUAAGAGCUCCUGGGAAGGUAGCUUUCCUUUGCCAGCAGCUUUGCAUUCAAGCAACUGUUCCUUAUAUCUAAUGGAAAUCUGCAAACUGCAGCCUGAGUUCUCUAUGUCUUGAGCUUCCUUGCUUGAAGGUAGGAGAUUUGGGGUCAACAUGCUCCAAAGAGAAACUCAUCACAACACCCCAAAUCAGUCUCAGUGGUCACUUUUGGGGAGGAAACUGAUAUUGAAGGAAGGGGGAAUAUUGGUGUUAUCUGUAAUCCGAACUAUUUUUUUAUAGUGAGACGUUUUCAGGUAUUACUUAGACAAAUUAAAAUGAAUAACAACAUUAAAUAGAAGUCCAUAACGUAUUUAAAAGCGGCUCUUGGAUCUCAGACAGGCCUUCCUAUGCUCCCCAGGCUGAGGGGUCUCAGGUUCUCUAUCCUAGGGUUUUGGACUCCUGGGAUCAGGGGAGACACCUGGGCCAGGAUGGUUGGCCAUUACAAGCUGGAGUCACUGAGGCUGGGGUGAGGUAUUGUGCUUGCCUGUGAUUGUUUGGCUGGCUUUUGAAUUACGCCAGGGUAACCUGCUCAUCUUCCUGCUCAGCACUAACCUCCCAGCUCUUACCAGAACUUUCUUGGGGGUUCAAAAAACAUUUAUCGGUAUAUUGAAAAAUCAUUUAAGGGAAGAAGCCAUUGCUGACCAAAAUUAGGGAUGGCCAGAGACACUUACUUGGAAUCACAGAAAGUCUUGUGCCAUUUCCAAAGACAAGCUGCCUGCUUCCUGAGUUCCCACAGUGAUUGCCUCCCUAACAGAAACUCAGAGUGCCUGGCCCCUGUGCUUUUCUGGAGGUUUCCUUUUGUUCAUCUUUGGGUGAAAUCACCCAGACAUCUCCCCCACUUAACCACAGUUUUUGUUUUCCCUCAUCAUGCUUUUGCCUCCUUUGUGAUCCUCUACAAAACGGGGUACAGUUAAGAUGCCCCUGACUUGAAUGGUCUAUACUGCUAUACCUGGAGCUGUGGCCCAAGAAAGCAUUUGUGAACCGCCUGCAAAAUUCCAGCUUAUUGUUAGCCUGUGAAAAAUAUUCCAAAGGAAAUCCCUGUCUCUGGCCUCAUAAUGAACCCUUUGCUGUGCUGGAAAUAAAAAGGAGUGGCUGCUUUUCCAAAAUGAAGAAAAGGAUUUGGAAAAUGGCAAGAGUGAGAAGGCUCAACACAAGAUGUUGUUCUUGGCUGACAUACCAUCUUUGUUGCCUCUGGCAUUAAAAGAACUCUUAAAAAAGUUACCUCCCGCCCAUCCAUGGAACAAGGGAAGUGCAGACGCAUGGAGCACCAGAGCCAGGAAUCUCAGCCGAGGCCAAACAGAGAAAGUGGGUCUUUUAUGAAGAGUGGAAGGAUGUUUGUCAUAGGUAGUCUGGAAUUAUUUCCAAAACCACUUUGGUUGGAGCCAGAAAUCAUACUGGGUUUAAUGUGUCCAAACAAACUCCACUGGGGACAAGCCUGGGGGGAGAUUUGAAGAUGAACUCUUGACAAAGUUUCCCAAUUUUUUACUCUUCAUAAUAUAUAAACAAGGAGAAAGAAAACUGAUUUUUUUUUUCCUCACCUAUGGCAUGCAGAAGUUCCCAGGCCAGGGAUCAAACCCAUGCCACAGCAGUGACAAUUCUGGAUCCCUUAACCUGCUGAGCCACCAGGGAACUCCAAGAUAGGUGAUAUUUAAGCAGCAAAACACUGGCAGCAACUUUCCCUGCUCUAGAGGGGAAAGCAUUCAGGACCUAGAAGCUACCCACAUGCUUUAGAGCCUGAGAAAAAUUUCCCACCCAACACCAAAACCACUUUAACUCAAUGGAAAUCAGUAUCUAAAAAUCACAUGAACAACACUUACUGGGAAGAACAUGAAGCUGAGUCCCUUUUCCAAAGACAAUUUUGUUAGCAGACUGUUCGCACUGUGAUUGGGGCCACAACAAAAACUCCUAGUGACUCUUCAGGAAAGCUGGAUGGAUAUUUCACCUUCAUGGGACAUUUUCUCCUCUACUGUAAUAAACAGGUCUCAUUAUCUCAUCAGCCAUCUUUCUCUGUGUCUCCUGGCUAUUUUGCUUGAGUUUUAUGCUGCUUCUUGUAAAUGUGCAGAGAGGAAAUUGGGUGACCUCAUUUGACACUGAGGGCAAAGUGUAAGAGCAACAAUUAACAAACUCCUCUGAUAUCUAACACCAUUCUGUUAUGGCAGGCAAAAAAAUGGCCGGGUGGACAGCCACUGUGCUAGGAAUCACUCUUGAGAGCCUAAAGAAAGAUGGGGGCAGCAAGGGGCCACUCAGACACACAUCUGAAUUUCACGUGAGGGAGCAUCACAGAGCCCUCAUCUCACCCUCGGCGCCCUGUUCUGAAGUGGCCAUCGCACAAACCCUGAAGAUCCCUUACCUUAGGCCAAGCACACAUUUGCUGCACUCAUUACAGCCCUCCCCAAGCUCGGGUAGUGGCGGGGGCGGUCAUCCAGUUUGGCCCAGAGGGAGUCUACUCUUUCAGGAAACACUCCCUUUCACAGUCCAUGGAUAUGGUCUCUCACCACCAAGAAAUGGACACUGGAUGGCAUUGCGGCUGGUGCUGAUUGGAUCCUUGUUUGACUCAUAAAGAAUCAAGCUCUGGAGUUCCUGUCAUGGCUCAGUGGUUAAUGAAUCCAACUAGGAACCAUGAGGUUGCUGGUUCAAUCCCUGGCCUUGCCCAGUGGGCGAAGGAUCUGGCAUUGCCAUGAGCUAUGGUGCAGGUCGCAGACCCGGCUCGGAUCCCGCGUUGCUGUGGCUCUGGUGUAGGCCAGUGGCUACAGCUCUGAUUGGACCCCUAGCCUGGGAACCUCCAU
rnacentral:lncRNA from 1 species